rnacentral:rRNA from 1 species
UACGGGAGGCAGCAGUGGGGAAUAUUGCACAAUGGGCGCAAGCCUGAUGCAGCCAUGCCGCGUGUAUGAAAAAGGCCUUCGGGUUGUAAAGUACUUUCAGUCGUGAGGAAGGUGUUAAGGUUAAUAACCUUAGCAAUUGACGUUAGCGACAGAAGAAGCACCGGCUAACUCCGUGCCAGCAGCCGCGGUAAUACGGAGGGUGCGAGCGUUAAUCGGAAUUACUGGGCGUAAAGGGCACGCAGGCGGUUAAUUAAGUUGGAUGUGAAAUCCCCGGGCUUAACCUGGGAAUGGCAUUCAAGACUGGUUAGCUAGAGUCUUGUAGAGGGGGUAGAAUUCCAUGUGUAGCGGUGAAAUGCGUAGAGAUGUGGAGGAUACCGGUGGCGAAGGCGGCCCCUGGACAAAGGACUGACGCUCAUGUGCGAAAGCGUGGGGAGCAAAC